rnacentral:rRNA from 1 species
CCGGCGACGUAUCCUUCAAAUGUCUGACUUAUCAGCUGUCGAUGGUAGACUCUAUGUCUACCAUGGCGCUCACGGGUAACGGGGAAUCAGGGUUCGAUUCCGGAGAGGGAGCCUGAGAAACGGCUACCACAUCCAAGGAAGGCAGCAGGCACGCAAAUUACCCACUCCCGGCACGGGGAGGUAGUGACAAAAAAUAACGAUACGGGACUCAUCCGAGGCCCCGUAAUCGGAAUGAGAACACGCUAAAUCCUUUAACGAGGAUCCAUUGGAGGGAAAGUCUGGUGCCAGCAGCCGCGGUAACUCCAGCUCCAAUAGCGUAUAUUAAAGUUGUUGCGGUUAAAAAGCUCGUAGUUGGUUCUGCGUGCCACGCUGUCGGUUCACCGCCUGUCGGUGCAACUGGCAUGCCGUGGCAUGUCCUGUCGGUGGCGGACGGGCCGCCUGCGGUUGGCCCUAUGCGUUCACUCGUGUAGGCGUCUCCACGGGUGCGCCCCGACGCCGAUUCAAUCCUACCGCGGUGCUCUUUACCGAGUGUCGAGGUAGGCCGACACUGUUUACUUUGAACAAAUUAGAGUGCUUCAAGCAGGCUCUGAAAUGAGCUUGAAUAGUGGUGCAUGGAAUAAUGGAACAGGACCUUGGUUCUAUUUUGUUGGUUUCCGGAAUCCAAGGUAAUGAUCAAUAAGGACAGGCGGGGGCAUUCGUAUUGCGGCGUUAGAGGUGAAAUUCUUGGAUCGUCGCAAGACGCACUAAAGCGAAAGCAUUUGCCAAGUAUGUCUUAAUUGAUC